CUAGCGCGGGAGCACGGACGGCAUGCGAGCUCGCGGCCGCGAGCGGCGCUGGUGACGAACAGUGGUGAGGCGCGGUGCUGUGACGGGCUGAAGCUAACAGCCGACGGCACGCGGCUGAAUGUUACUGAAUGUCUGUAUUCAUGGCGGUAUGAGAGCUGCCGCCCUGCAUCUGCUGCUCGUGGUGGCAGCUGUGCGCCCCUUCUCACCCACAGACCCGGUCCGUUUGGACGUGGACCCGCCGGUGGCACC